AGCAGCUCUUGUGGCAGUCCAGGUAACUGUAUUUUCACUCUCUGGAUUCUGUUGAGUGCUGCCGGAUUGAGUAUCUCAGCAAUCGCCACGUUCCCGUUGUCGAACAAGUCCACCUUCUUGACAGCACCUUCAUCCAGGGAGGUGGGUUUCCUUUGAAAGGUCUUGAGAUUUGCAGAUGGGGAAGUUGGAGAUAGAGAGAGAGAGAGCAGGUGACAUUCGCUUUGCUCACUUGGCGCCAGCAAUUUAGAUUUGGGCAAUAGUUUUGAAUGUUCAAAAUUGAUGGAUUUGUGCUGCUUCUGUUUUCUGAGGCAUUUAGUAUAUCUAUAUAUAUAUAUUGGAGGGAAAUGUUGUUGGGGGCAAUUUAAAUAGGAGAGAAAUGAGAUGCUUCUAGUUCCUCUCAUUUUGGACUUUUCCACUGAUUUUUGUCUUUCGAUUAUCCAUGUCAUUCGUGAAGGAUCCAGAGUGAAUAUGAUAGAUGGAUGAACACCAUUCUCUCUC